rnacentral:rRNA from 1 species
UACAGAGGGUGCGAGCGUUGUCCGGAAUCACUGGGCGUAAAGGGCGCGUAGGCGGCCUGAUAAGUAGGGGGUGAAAUCCUGUGGCUUAACUGCAGGGCUGCCUCCUAGACUGUUAGGCUCGAGCACGGUAGAGGCAGAUGGAAUUCCCGGUGUAGCGGUGGAAUGCGCAGAUAUCAGGAGGAACACCAAUGGCGAAGGCAGCUCGCUGGGACGUGACUGACGCUGAGACGCGAAAGCGUGGGGAGCAAACAGG